rnacentral:rRNA from 1 species
GACAGAGGUGCCAAGCGUUAGGUGGAAUCACUGGGCUUAAAGCGUGUGUAGGCGGGCGAUCAAGUACCUUGUGAAAUCCCACGGCUCAACCGUGGAACUGCUGGGUAUACUGGUUGUCUUGAGCCAGCUAGGGGCGAGCGGAACAGACGGUGGAGCGGUGAAAUGCGUAGAUAUUCGCAAGAACACCAGUGGCGGAGGCGGCUCACUGGCCCGGUACUGACGCUGAGGUGCGAAAGCGUGGGGAGCAAACAGG